UUGACAUUUUGAAACUUAUAAUUUUAAAGGAUCCAAGUAUUAUAUUUAUUUUGUACUUGUUUUUUAUGUCUUUAAAACAAAAAGCAUGGUGCGCUAUUGUUGCUGUUGUAGUAGCUGAUCAUAUGCAGCAAAUAAUUUUAAUGAUCGUUGCCGGGUUUUCAGUUCUUCGCCUGAUACAAAUACGCGCCUUUUCCGGUUACGUAGACCCGUAGACCCACAAUUAUCGAUGAGUGCCUCGCUACCAUUUGAAACCGAUCCUGCGGACUUACAGUAGGAAUAACUGUACGAGAAUAAUUUUAUGCUUUGCGCGCAACUCACUUGUGUAAAAGUGUCGUGGGAUCACCCUGAUCGAGCGUCAUGGGGAAAUCAUAGAUGGUGGUCUUCAUUUGAGCGCGCAUUUGUUUCAUCAUAUCUUCGAUUUGAUCAAAUUUGAAUGGCUCCUGGCCAAAAUUAGCAUCGAUCUCUUCACCAGGCGUUUGUAGGCCAACCGUUGGAUAUAGUUUACACUGAAAAUAUGCAAAUACAUGUAAUACACCGUCACACCAACACGCUUGUAUAUACUACUACUUUAUGUACCGGCAAAUCCCUGAACGCAACACCCAAAUCAAUACCGUUCUUUGUGUAGAAACAUGAAUUAUCCACAAAAUUUACACAGCAACCGAUUACAUCGCCCGUGGUGAAGGUCGGCCCAUACGACUGUCCAUUAUUGGAUGAUGAAUAUGAAUUACCAUCAUCACCAUGAUAUCCGUACGAUUGCUUGUCCCAACCUGAAAAAGAAAAUGCCGAAUGGAAACCGAAAAUAAUAUUAUUUGCAUUUGUUGGGUCGGUUGCAAAACGCGCUGCCUUUACCUGGUAAACGAUUCAUGCGAAAUUGUUGAGCUGUCAAACCGAUACCCAUGUAGCCAUCUUUGCCUUUCGAAACAAUUUUCACUUCAAAAUAGUAUAGGCCACAGGCGGGUGGAAUCGGAUGAGCUGUGCGCACAGAGGCAGAACCGUCGUGUUUAUUACCGACGCCUGCAAAUAAAUGGCGUAAAAUGAAUAUAUGGCGUAAUACAAGUGUCCAGAUCAAGGACAUGAGCAUCUGAAAAAGGCCGCGCUUUGGUGCUGUCAAAAAUAAACUUAUAUUUUAAUAUGUAUUUUGCAAAUGUAAUUUUGUGUGCUAAAUAAAGAUAAUUAGUUUUGAAAAAUUUUAAAUCAUUCCGAAUAAAAACCGCAGUCGACUUCACUCUGCAGUUGCGCUUUUAAUAUUUUUAUUUUAACCAAAAUAUAACCAAAUCUCUCUUAAUUCCUCCCACCAGCGACUAGCCGCUGUAUAAAUUGACAUAUAAAUACGCACAUACCUAUGCAUAUAAUUGAGCACUCAAAAUAAUCCCAACGCAAUUUCCACGCACAAAGCGCUACCAAUUUAUAUGUAAACAACAACAAUGAGCUUGAUAAACCCAUAUCAGCUGAUGGUAUUAUGAUUGCAGCAAUACGAAGAACAACAACAGAAACACAAACACACGUACAUAUGUUUACAUAAAUGUCAAAAGGAGUACGGACAAUAAGAAGCGUGCGUAGAAAAGGCACAAACAAAGUACAAUAACAAAAACAGAAACAGAAAUAACCAGGCCAAUGACAGUGAGCGAUGAAGUGCGACAACAAACGAAUUGAAUACUUUCGUGCUGGACAAGUUCGUGUUUGCUUCUCUUCCGUUUAUACGUCGUUUUCUAUUUAUUUCCCCCGAUUUGAUGCAUAAAAUGGCAGAACAGACUGCGCUGCACUCGACUCUUGUGUUGGCAAAGGUAAAUAAAGCGUAUGUGGGGAAACGCAAUAAAGAGAAGGUGGGCAUGGAAAAUCAAAUGAAAAAAAAAAUACGAAGUAAAGAGCGAGUGCAAGCAUACAUAUGUAUGUAUUUAUAUCACGAAACUGCUUUAUAUGAGUCUAGCGAAGAUCAAGCCACCCACCAUUUGUUAAAUUAAUAAUUAAUAAGUCUAUUUAUUAAGAAAAUUUAAUACAAUAAAUUUUGUCUUGAAAUAAUAAUGAAAUCGCAUCAAUUUCUUUACUUUCAAUUGCAGCUUCUUCGACACACCUACACAUUUGCAAUUAUCAAACACAGUUAUAACGUAUUCUGCAUUUCCGCUAGCUCCUUAAUUUCUAAUUCAUUGCAUUUGCUAAUUUCGUUUCCUUUAUGAGGACGCGCUAAUUUCGCGCUUCAAAAACUGUCAAGUUAACUAGUGAAAGCUUUUAGUCUUCAUUUUUGUACGGUGCGUGCUAGUCUAGUAUUUUAGUUUAUCGGUGUAUAAUUAAGUAUAAUUGCAUUUAUUAAUGAAUCACUCACCUUUAUAGUGCACAUGUAGAUUAUUCUGCGAUAGUCCAAUCGAUAGACAUUUGUCGUGUGGACUCCAGCAGCGUGGCAGUGGAGUUUCAGCUUCGUUCACAUUUGGAUAGAGCAUUUUGAGGCGAUCGGUCACUUGCUGACGCGUAUGAUGAUUAUGAUUACUACUGCUGUGACCACCGGUGCCAGCACAAGUGUUGACGCCUGUUAGGGCAGUGGCCCCGCCACCGCCGGACGGGUUAUCGCUUUGGCUACUGCUCCCAAGCAUGUUUGCUGUUAGUAAUGUGUUUGUAUUUGCGCCGUUACUGGGAUUAAUUUGGCUGACAAAGCUAAUGCCGCUAUUAUUAUUGUUAUUGUUGCUGCUGAUGUUGAUGCUGUCGCCGCCACCGGACAAAGCAGGUAUGUCAAACGCAAAUGGUGAACUAUUUAUACAGCCACCAAAGUUAGGA